rnacentral:rRNA from 1 species
GACGAACGCUGGCGGCGUGCUUAACACAUGCAAGUCGAACGAUGAAGCCCAGCUUGCUGGGUGGAUUAGUGGCGAACGGGUGAGUAACACGUGAGUAACCUGCCCUUCACUCUGGGAUAA